GAUUCCGCUGCUACAUAUAUUAUACACAUCACAAUCACUUAAAUCUAUUAAUUCAAAGCACAUACUUGUUUAGAUUAUUGAUUUUGCUAAAAUUUUUAUACAAUCCAAUUCACCCCCCACCCCCCUCUUAAGUUGCUACCUUCUGGGCAACAAUUGGUAUCAGAGUGGGUGAUCUAUUAUUUAUUGUUGAUCUAGUGAUCUAGAGUCAAAGAUCAUGGUAAUCCAAAUUGAUUCUUUAUUUAAUGAAGAUCAUUCUGUAGAUAGACCCCCAUUAUUUAAUAGAUCGAAUC
rnacentral:lncRNA from 1 species